CGUGCCUACAAUGGCGUAUGCGAAUAGGAUUAUCUGCAAUAUAGUAUAGCGCUAUGAUUAGUUUGUCAUAUUUAAAGGAACAAUCGAUAAAGGACAAACAUGAAAAUAUUCGUGCUGGGAUGUAUGUGCGUGUUGAGCGUGAUUGCCAUGGUUUCUUCCACGGCAAUGUAUGGUGCUUAUCCGGCUUAUACCGGCGUUGGAUACGGUAGCUAUGGAUACGGGGCACAAAGCGGCGGCGGUGGCGGAUUCGGGGGCAUCUUUGGCAUCCUUAUUUUCUUGUUUGUAUUUAUCAUCAUAAUCAACCUUCUGUUCGGCGGUGGUAUCGGAGGCGGCAAUCGAGGCGGAAAGAACAACAAGAACAAUUACUAGACAGUGGUCAGAUUCGUGACAACCAUGCAACACGAUUGAUGGAAAAAAGAACAAACGUCUGCAAUACUAUGUGACUUUAUUUAUCCAUAUUAAAUAAGAGCAUCCCACAAUA